AUGAAGCCGGGUUGUUCUCGGCUUCUUUUUAUCUGCCUUUCGGCGACAUGGGUGCUGGCCACGGCCGAUGUACCGGCAGGCCAGCGUCCCGGCUGCCCGGCCAAGUGCGGCGACGUUGCAAUCCCGUUCCCGUUCGGCAUCGGCGAGCACUGCGCGUUGCACAGUGGCUUUAGCCUCAACUGCAAGAGCAUCAACGGCACCAUGAAGCCCUUUAAAGGGAACAUCGAGGUGACCAAGAUCUCCGUACCCAGCAGCAAGGUCUGGAUGAUGACGAGGAUGUCCCGGCAGUGCUAUUUGAAAGCCACUCGCACGACGAAUUACUCUGAUGCAAGCUUGAGCUUCACAAAUUCACCCUUCUCGAUAUCGGAAGUGGAUAACAAAAUUAUCGUCAUCGGGUGCAAUGCUGUCGCUUAUAUGAUGAGCUCUACUUACGUAAUAGGUUGCUAUUCCACAUGCAAGAAUGUCACCCUCGAGAAUGGCAAAUGCUCUGGCGCUGGCUGUUGUCAAGCCGAUGUCCCAAAGGGAAUACAGUAUUAUCGUGGCUAUUUCAACGAAAACACAACACUGCUCAAAUAUGGAAAGACUACCCUUGCAACUACAUGAUAGUGAUGGAAAAGGCAGCUUUCAGUUUCAACACCAGCUAUGUCAAACCCAAAGUAUUCUAUGAGACAUACAAGGAGGGAGUUCCUCUUGUCGCGAACUGGGUAAUAAGACCAUGGACUUGCAAGGCAGCUAAAAAGAACAUGAGUACCUAUGCGUGCAUCAGCAGCCAUAGUGCGUGUGUUGAUUCCACCACCAACAAUCCAGGUUACCAUUGCAAGUGCUCCAAUGGGUACAAAGGCAACCCUUACAUCACGGCUGGAUGCCAAGAUAUUGACGAGUGCCGUGAAAAAGCUAAUCCUUGUGGCCGAGGGAUCUGCAAGAAUACGCAGGGGAAAUACAGUUGCUCAUGCCACCCUGGGAACUAUAUGGCAAAUGGUGUCUGCGUACCAAUUCCAAAGUCUCCCCAUUUUCCUGCGGUGCCAGUUGUGUGCAAGUGUUGGACUUGUCAUCAUUGUGAUUUUUGUUGCCUUUGCAUGCUUCAUCCAAGAGAGACGGAAGCUACAGAACAUGAAACAGAACUACUUCCGGCAGCACGGCGGCCUUAUACUAUUUGAAGAGAUGAAGGAGAAGCAAGGCGUUACAUUCAAAAUCUUCUCAGAGGAAGAACUGCAGCAAGCCACGAACAAGUUCAGCGAACAACAAGUCUUAGGUCAUGGGGGGCACGGGACCGUGUACAAGGGACUUUUCAAGGACAAUUUGGAGGUGGCGGUCAAGAGAUGCAUGACCAUCAACGAGCAACACAAGAAAGAGUUCGGUAAGGAGAUGCUAAUCCUAUCCCAAAUCAACCACAAAAACAUUGUGAAGCUUCUGGGAUGCUGCCUCGAAGUGGAAGUCCCCAUGUUGGUUUAUGAGUUCGUCCCAAACAGCACUCUCUUCCAUCUCAUCCACGGCAACCAUGGCCGACGUAUCCCCUUAGCCACUCGCUUGGGGAUCGCUCAUGAGUCCGCGGACGCGCUCUCCUACCUUCACUCAUCCACUUCGACACCAAUCCUUCAUGGUGAUGUCAAGUCCUCCAAUAUCCUCCUUGAUGGCGACUACAAGGCUAAAGUCUCCGACUUCGGUGCCUCUAUCCUGGCACCAACCGAUGAGUCACAAUUUGUAACACUUGUACAAGGGACGUGCGGGUACCUUGACCCGGAGUACAUGCAAACAUGCCAGUUGACAGACAAGAGUGACGUGUACAGCUUUGGUGUCGUUCUUCUGGAGCUGCUCACGGGGAAGAAGCCCUUUAGUCUUGAUGCCUCUGACCAAGAGAAGAGCCUAUCAAUGAUGUUUAUGUCUGCAGUGAAGGAGAAUAAGCUUCAGGAGAUCUUGGAUGAUGGGAUCAAGCAAGACAACAUGGAGGUUCUUGAAGAGAUCGCGGAGCUAGCGAAGCAAUGCUUGGAGAUGUGCGGUACGAAUAGGCCAUCGAUGAAGGAAGUUGCAGAGAAGCUUGAUAGGUUGAGGAAGGUGAUGCAACAUCCCUGGGUGCAACUGCAGCAAAACCCUGAAGAGAACGAAAGUUUACUUGGGCAGCGAUCGGCAAUGGUCAACUCGACGGUUGUUAGUGCUGAAUAUUUUAGCAUCGAGAAGGAAGCAGUGACGAGUCUGGGAUCUGGCUGA
rnacentral:rRNA from 1 species